UCCCGUGUGGCUCAGUGGGUAGAGCAUGGCACUUGCAACGCCAGGGUUUUGGCUUCGAUUCCCAUGGGGGAU
rnacentral:tRNA from 1 species